AAAGUACUCCCUCCAUCCCAAAAUUCUUGUCUUAGAUUUGUCUAGAUACGGAUGUAUCAAGUCACAUUUUAGUAUUAUAUACAUCCGUAUCUAGACAAAUCUAAGACAAGGAAUUUGGGACAGAGGGAGUAGUUG
rfam:Triticum aestivum genome assembly, contig: Triticum_aestivum_CS42_TGACv1_scaffold_049365_1BS